GACUUUGCGCAGCGGCGAUAUCGUAACCAAUGAGGUUUAUCCGAGGUGCGAUUAUUGCUAGUUGAAAACUUAUACCAAUACCCCGCCGGGAGGACUUGAAAUACAGUCCCCCUGGCAAUUUUUGAGAGCCUCUACGGAGG
rnacentral:snRNA from 1 species